CCCGCUGAACUUAAGCAUAUCAAUAAGCGGAGGAAAAGAAACCAACAGGGAUUGCCUUAGUAACGGCGAGUGAAGCGGCAAAAGCUCAAAUUUGAAAUCUGAUAUCUCUGAUGUCCGAGUUGUAAUUUGGAGAGACAUCUUCUGGAGGGGCCCAGCCUAUGUGCCUUGGAACAGGACAUCAUAGAGGGUGAGAAUCCCGUUCUUGGCUGGAUGUUCCCUCCCCUAUGUGGAGUCUUCUACGAGUCGAGUUGUUUGGGAAUGCAGCUCAAAAUGGGUGGUAAAUUUCAUCUAAAGCUAAAUAUUGGCGAGAGACCGAUAGCGAACAAGUACCGUGAGGGAAAGAUGAAAAGCACUUUGGAAAGAGAGUUAAACAGUACGUGAAAUUGUUGAAAGGGAAACGUUUGAAGUCAGUCGCGUCGGCCGAGACUCAACCUUGCUUCUGCUCGGUGCACUUCUCGGUUGACGGGUCAGCAUCAAUUUUGACCGCCGGAUAAAGGUCGGGGGAAUGUGGCAUCCUUCGGGAUGUGUUAUAGACCUCGAUUCGGAUACGGCGAUUGGGAUUGAGGAACUCGGCGCUCUGCGUCCAGGAUGCUGGCAUAAUGGCUUUAAGCGACCCGUCUUGAAACACGG
rnacentral:rRNA from 1 species